rnacentral:rRNA from 1 species
GACGAACGCUGGCGGCGUGCCUAAUACAUGCAAGUUGAGCGCUGAAGGUUGGUACUUGUACCCACUGGAUGAGCAGCGAACGGGUGAGUAACGCGUGGGGAAUCUGCCUUUGAGCGGGGGACAACAUUUGGAAACGAAUGCUAAUACCGCAUAAAAACUUUAAACACAAGUUUUAAGUUUGAAAGAUGCAAUUGCAUCACUCAAAGAUGAUCCCGCGUUGUAUUAGCUAGUUGGUGAGGUAAAGGCUCACCAAGGCGAUGAUACAUAGCCGACCUGAGAGGGUGAUCGGCCACAUUGGGACUGAGACACGGCCCAAACUCCUACGGGAGGCAGCAGUAGGGAAUCUUCGGCAAUGGACGAAAGUCUGACCGAGCAACGCCGCGUGAGUGAAGAAGGUUUUCGGAUCGUAAAACUCUGUUGGUAGAGAAGAGCGUUGGUGAGAGUGGAAAGCUCAUCAAGUGACGGUAACUACCCAGAAAGGGACGGCUAACUACGUG